rnacentral:rRNA from 1 species
GACAGAGGAGCCAAGCGUUGUCCGGAUUGACUGGGCGUAAAGCGCACGCAGGCGGAUGCGCGCGUGGGGUGUGAAAGCUGGUGGCUUAACUGCCAGUCGCCAUCCCAUACGGCGCGUCUGGAGCCUUGCAGAGGGCAGUGGAAUUGCCGGUGUAGUGGUGAAAUGCGUAGAUAUCGGGAGGAACACCAGUGGCGAAGGCGACUACCUGGCCUGUUCUUGACGCUGAGGCGCGAAAGCUAGGGGAGCAAACGGG